rnacentral:ncRNA from 1 species
GUGAUAGAGGCGCGGGCUUCAUCAGUAAGCGGAAAGAGGCACGGGAAUGCACCGCCGAAAGGGGAUCCCGCCGAAGUGUACACGACCCCGAACGUGUGCGCUGGGACAGCGUGAAAGACGCGCUGUACUGUCGUUUUGGGGCUAUGCCCCGACGGAGUGCUAUUCG